rnacentral:rRNA from 1 species
UACGGAGGUGCGAGCGUUGUCCGGAAUCAUUUGGGCGUAAAAGGGCGCGUAGGUGGCCCAGUUAAGCGUGCGGUGAAAAGCUUCGGGGCUCAACCCCGAGUCGGCCGUGCGAACUACUGGGCUGGAGCACUUGUAGGAGGCAGGCGGAAUUUCCGGGUGUAGCGGUGGAAUGCGUAGAGAUCCGGAAGAACACCGGUGGCGAAGGCAGCCCCUGGGAUAACACUGACGCUCAUGCACGAAAGCGU